GAGCCGAUAACACCCGAAGCCUGUGAGCUAACCGUAAGGGGCAGCAGUCGAAGGUGGGGUUGGUGAUUGGGGUGAAGUCGUAACAAGGUAGC
rnacentral:rRNA from 1 species